UUUCCGUAGGUGAACCUGCGGAAGGAUCAUCAUCAAAAACAAAAACAAAACAAAAAAAAAAAAAAAACACUUUUUUUCUUUUUUUGCUUUUUUUUUUAAUGCAAAAAAAAGAGGAGGUUUGCUUUGUAUGAAAAAAUGUGGGAGAGAAGGGGGGGGGGGAGAGAUUUUUCUUUUUUUUUUUUUCCAAAUUUUUUUUUUUUUUAAAAAAAAAUAAAUUCAAUUUUUUUAUAAUUUUUUUUUUUCAAAAAAAAUUGUUUAAUCAAAAUGACAAAAAAAAAAAAAACAAGAAAAUAAAAACAUUAUUUUUGUAUUUUUUAACUAUUUUUUUAAAAGAUAAAAAAAGGAGAGUUGAUAUGUGAUUAAAAAAAUGGUGGAAAAAAAGGGGGGGACAGAAAAUUUUCUUCUUUUUAUUCUUACAAAUUUUUUUUUUGAUAAAAAAAAAAUAAAUUCACAUUUUUUAAAAUAAUUUUUUUAAAAAAAAAAUUAUUUCACGAAAAAAACAAAAAAAAAAAAAAAAAAACAACUUUUAACAAUGGAUCUCUUGGCUCUC
rnacentral:misc_RNA from 1 species